UACGGAGGGUGCAAGCGUUAUCCGGAUUUACUGGGUUUAAAGGGUGUGUAGGCGGACUAUUAAGUCAGUGGUGAAAUCCCGAGGCUCAACCUCGGAACUGCCUUUGAUACUAUUAGUCUUGAAUGUUGUUGAGGUGGGCGGAACGGGUCAUGUAGCGGUGAAAUGCAUAGAUAUGACCCGGAACACCGAUUGCGAAGGCAGCCCGCUAAGCAACUAUUGACGCUGAGGCACGAAAGCGUGGGGAUCAAACAGGAGU
rnacentral:rRNA from 1 species